rnacentral:rRNA from 1 species
GGUGAACGCUGGCGGUAGGCCUAACACAUGCAAGUCGAACGACAGCACAGUAAGAUCUUGCUCUUAAGGGUGGCGAGUGACGGACGGGUGAGGAAUAGAUCGGAAUCUACUUUUUCGUGGGGAAUAACGUAGGGACACUUACGAUAAUACCGAAUACGACCUACGGGAGAAAGCAAUGGAUCUUCGCACCUUGCGCGAUUGAAUGAGCCGAUGUCGGAUUAGCUAGUUGGCGGGGUAAGGGAACACCAAGGCGACGAUACGUAGCUGGGCUGAGAGGAUGAUCAGCCACACUGGAACUGAGACACGGUCCAGACUCCUACGGGAGGCAGCAGUGGGGAAUAUUGCACAAUGGGCGCAAGCCUGAUGCAGCCAUGCCGCGUGGGUGAAGAAGGCCUUCGGGUCGUAAAGCUCUUUUAUUGGGAAAGAACAGCUGUGUGUUAAUAUAUCGACGUCUUGACGGUACCCAAUCAAUAAGCACCGGCUAACUUCGUG